rnacentral:rRNA from 1 species
GUAUCGGGUCUUACUUGACCUUGGGUAAACGCAAGCUAACGACGUUGAAGUUGACCGUCUUGGGGGAGGUACGGUCUGCAAGUUUAAAUCUCAAAUGGAAAUUGACGGCGGACCCGCACAAGCCGGUGGAUGAUGUGGGAUUAAUUCGAUGCAACGCGAAAAAACCUUACCUACCCCUUGACAUGGUCGGAAUCCUGGAGAGAUCUGGGAGUGCUCGAAAGAGAACCGGCGCACAGGUGCUGCAUGGCUGUCGUCGGCUCGUGUCGUGAGAUGUUGGGUUAAGUCCCGCAACGAGCGCAACCCUUGUCAUUAGUUGCUACGAAAGGGCACUCUAAUGAGACUGCCGGUGACAAACCGGAGGAAGGUGGGGAUGACGUCAAGUCCUCAUGGCCCUUAUGGGUAGGGCUUCACACGUCAUACAAUGGUACAUACAGAGGGCUGCCAACCCGCGAGGGGGAGCUAAUCCCAGAAAGUGUAUCGUAGUCCGGAUUGGAAUCUGCAACUCGACUCCAUGAAGUUGGAAUCGCUAGUAAUCGCGGAUCAGCAUGUCGCGGUGAAUACGUUCCCGGGUCUUGUACACACCGCCCGUCACACCAUGGGAGCGGGUUUUACCAGAAGUAGGUAGCCUGACCGCAAGGAGGGCGCUUACCACGGUAGGAUUCGUGACUGGGGUGAAGUCGUAACAAGGUAGCCGU